AUACCGCUCCUAUACUCAGGUUGUGAUCACACCGUCCACACCCACCUGACGGCUGCUCGCUGUGUCUGUUAGCC
rnacentral:sRNA from 1 species